rnacentral:rRNA from 1 species
ACAUACGACCAUAGACUCAAGAGAACUGGGCAUCCCCUCCGCUCUGCCAUACAUAACCUUGAGAUUGAUGGAUUAGUAGUUGGGUGGGUGACCACCAGCGAAUACCCACUGUUGUAUGUU